rnacentral:rRNA from 1 species
UACGUAGGGUGCAAGCGUUGUCCGGAAUUAUUGGGCGUAAAGAGCUCGUAGGCGGUUUGUCGCGUCUGCUGUGAAAACUGGGGGCUCAACCCCCAGCCUGCAGUGGGUACGGGCAGACUAGAGUGCGGUAGGGGAGAUUGGAAUUCCUGGUGUAGCGGUGGAAUGCGCAGAUAUCAGGAGGAACACCGAUGGCGAAGGCAGAUCUCUGGGCCGGCAUUGACGCUGAGGAGCGAAAGCUAGGGGAGCGAACGGG